GCACUCCAAGAGGAGGUUGUGAGUCUGAAGGCUUUUAUUCAACAAGGAGGCACUUAGAGGGAAUGCCUGGACCCUGAGAGGACUAAGACGAUAAUUGAGGCCACCCUGAAGCAGUUCCCAGGCCAGACACUCACUCCAGAUUGCUGGGCCAGGCAAUAAAUGCCAAAGUGACAGAACUGAGGUUCCAUAACAAAAACAAAGAUUUUCAAUAAAAUAGAAUAAAAGAUAACAGAAGUGUUGUGUGUUUCUUCCUCUUUAUACUGAUACUAUGGUUGAUUUUA